GUGCCUUCGGGAACUCUGAGACAGGUGCUGCAUGGCUGUCGUCAGCUCGUGUUGUGAAAUGUUGGGUUAAGUCCCGCAACGAGCGCAACCCUUAUCCUUUGUUGCCAGCGGUUCGGCCGGGAACUCAAAGGAGACUGCCAGUGAUAAACUGGAGGAAGGUGGGGAUGACGUCAAGUCAUCAUGGCCCUUACGAGUAGGGCUACACACGUGCUACAAUGGCAUAUACAAAGAGAAGCGACCUCGCGAGAGCAAGCGGACCUCAUAAAGUAUGUCGUAGUCCGGAUUGGAGUCUGCAACUCGACUCCAUGAAGUCGGAAUCGCUAGUAAUCGUGGAUCAGAAUGCCACGGUGAAUACGUUCCCGGGCCUUGUACACACCGCCCGUCACACCAUGGGAGUGGGUUGCAAAAGAAGUAGGUAGCUUAACCUUCGGGAGGGCGCUUACCACUUUGUGAUUCAUGACUGGGGUGAAGUCGUAACAAGGUAACCGUAGGGGAACCUGCGGUUGGAUCACCUCCUUA
rnacentral:ncRNA from 1 species